GUUACCUGAUGCAGACCGAUGAAAUCCAAAGUCAGGCUGUAUUUAGGCUGCUGACAGGAACAAUAUGGAAAAACGGAGUGCUCCACGCUUCAGAGUAUCCCUGAGAGCAGCCAGCUGAGGCAAAAUAUAGAUGUAGCUAAAUUAUCCAGAGGACUCUUCUGUGCCAGGUUAUCACUGAGGCUAAAAGAUUAGAAGAAUUAAAAUGGACUUAAAAAUACAGACACGCAGACUCACAUAUGAAGCCACACAGACAUACUCAAAUUUACCCACGAAUAUACACAUUCAUGUUGAAUGUCAGAGUAGGAGUAAAUGUUUUGAAGUGGAUUAAAAACUUGUACAUCAAAGCAUGAAUUCACCUUGAAAUGAAGGCAAUUAAAGCCGUGACAGGUAUUGUGCCUUUGGUAAAAGGGAAUUGAGACCCCGAAUGAAGACAGAACUGCCAUCUGAGAUCUGGUGUUUUAAAGUGAACCUGUCAUGAAUUCUAAAUGUGGCUCAAACGAAAUCAUCCUCUGCAGUUCCCACUUAUGAAGCGCUCCACUUAGCUAGCAAAAUACUUCACUAUGCUCAACAGGGCUUACAGGUUUUUCCAGCCAUUUGUCUUUUCAUUCAAAAUACACUGUCAGCUUGUUAAUGGAGUAAACUUUCUUCUGAAAUGAACUAAAGUUCUUAAAAGAAAGUAGUUUAAUCUGAAUAUAUCCAGAUGAAGCAAAGAAUACUCACUUCCAGCCCAGUCUUAACUUUUGGAAAAAUACCAUAUGGAUAAUGGCAUAGAAGCUCCCGUGAAAAAAAGAAAGUCAACAGAUUUUUCAAGAUGAACUUUAUGUUAUCCUAAUUUCCACUGAUGUGAAAAAAUCAUAGUAGAUAUUGUAUCAUGUCAAACUUCUUUAAUCUACCUAUUAUGUUUGAUUAGCUCAUUGAGUUCAUCUAAUAUUACUGCAUUCAACUAAUAGUGCUUGUAUAACUUACUACUAGAAAACCUGAAAUAAUUAUAUGAAGUGAUUGCAUUAGUAUGUUCUUGCUUCCCCAGAUUUUUACCAUAGGAAGUAUACUGAAGGGCAGCAUACAUUGACCAUGCUCUAGGAAGACAAUGCUGUCUUCCUUUUCUGUCCUUCCUGUAGGCCAUCAUAUAUGUCACAUAUGCGUCAAUAAAUAAAAAGAAUGCUAUUACCCUUU